UUGUCUCUUAGCAUUCCAUUGUAACUGUAAUAUAAAAGUAAAAUAGUUAGAAUAAAAGUAAUUCUCUGUCAGGUUUAAGGAAAAUUAAACUUAUGUUAAUUUUCUGUCAAGGAUGGGAAUAUAAGAGGUGGUGGCGUUUAAGGAAGAGAUGAAGGUCACCUUCCAGAUGAGUGACCUGGGGCAUCUCUCCUUCUACCUGGGGAUUGAAGUGCACCAGAGUGACUCUGGGAUCACACUUCGCCAGACGGCCUACAUCAAGCGCAUUGUUGAGCUGGCUGGGCUCACUGAUUGCAACCCAGCCCUCACUCCGAUGGAGGAGGCUAAAGCUGAACCGUGACAGCACGACGGAGGAGGUGGACGCUACUCAGUACCGGCGUCUUGUGGGGAGCCUUCGCUACCUCGUCCACACACGACCGGAUCUGGCAUACUCCGUCGGCUACGUUAGUCGAUUCCUGCAGCGACCGACGAUGGAGCACGAGCAGGCUGUGAAACGAGCAGGCUGUGAAAAGGAUCGCCCGCUAUGUUGCGGAGACUCUUGACCACGGUCUCUACUACUCGAGGUGCUCUAGGGAGGCACACCUUGUCGGGUACAGCGACAGCGACCACGCCGGCGACAUCGACACCAGCAAGAGCACAAGCGGGAUCAUCUUCUUCCUCGGCAAGUGUCCCAUCAACUGGUAGUCGGUCAAGCAGCAUGUGGUGGUCAUGUCCAGUUGCGAGGCUGAGUACAUAGCGGCCUCCAUCGCUUCAACUCAGGCGCUCUGACUUGCUCGCCUGCUCGGUGAUCUCCUCGGGAGAGAAGUUGGAGCAGUGGAACUCCGGGUGGAUAGCCAGUCCGCCCUUGUGUUGGCCAAGAACCCCAUGUUCCAUGAACGGAAUAAGCACAUCAAGGUGAGGUACCACUUCAUCCGUGACUGUUUGGCAGAAGGGAGCAUCAAGGCACGCUACAUAAACACCAAGGAUCAGCUUGUGGACCUGCUCGCCAAUCCCCUUGGGAGGAUCAAGUUUCUUGAGCUUUGUUUUAGGUCCGGGAUGGCUCAACUUUCCCACAAGGCGACGCACAAAACUUAGGGGGAGAAUGAUGGAACAAGUCAUGCGGUAUUCGUGUGGAGGACAGCAUCUCUAUUUUUGUGGUGUGGAGGACAGUCCACACAACAUCUCUGUUGUAGGACAGCAGUGACAACAGUCUUUUGACUGCAAGGACAGCGUGUUGCACAUCAGUAGUCUUUUGACUACAAGGACAACGUGUUGCAGGCAUAUCCUUUUCCAUUUUUCAUCUUUUGGAGGACAGCAGCUUGCUGCAGUUUUCUUUUGACUAGAGUACAACAGCACUUAGUGGUUAGUGCAGUUUGUAGGACAGCAUAUUCGCAUCUCUAGAAAGCAUAUGUUGCAGCCCCUUGGGCUAUAAAUAUGUAUCUCAACCCUUAGACGGGUAUGGCAUUGUGUAGUGUUUGAGAAAAUAAACAGAAAAUCUCUCCAACUCAUAGUGUCAUCCUCUCGAUGAGAGUAAGAGUCCCAUUGCUUACAGUUGGUAUGGAUACUCUAUGAAUUCUAUUAAUUCUUGGGCCAGGAUAUCACCAUCCCAAGGGCCAAAAUAUCACAAAGCGGUGUACCUGAUUUGUGCUAACCACGGACAUGUUAGAGUGACUUAAGAGGGGCGCCAGAGGUCAGCUGCGCCGCGGUCGUGGUUGCCUGUUCGCCGUAGUAGGGCGGCGGUGUCGGGUCUGAGCUUUUGUAAAAGCGCCAGAGCUGAGGGACUUAAGUGAGAUGGUCUGAGCUUUUGUUUGGGCAGCAGGAUCUUUUGCGCAAAGCCGCCAGCGCGAGCGUGGGUUGUCAGCCGUGGGCUGACUUGUCCUGUUGCGCAGGCUGAGUGGGCUGAUUUGGGCCCAAUAGUGUGCUCGUCUUUACUUUUUCUUUAUCAGGGAACUUGUAAAUUAUGCCAAAAUUUGUAGAGAACUCCAAAAAUCAUGGAACAAAUUUUAUUGGGUGUCUAAAAUCAAGAGCUCUAUGGUAAAGUUGGUUUUAGGAUUUUUCAAUCAGUUACUAAAUUUUAAGUGAUUUAAAAGUGCUCUUGGAAGGCCUAUUUGGAUUUUAGAAAUAAAAGUUUAGUUCCAAAGAUUAUGAAAAUUUUUGGGUACCUUUAUUUUGGUCAGUUGAGCAUAUGGUAAAAAAUUUGGGGCUGUUGGAAGCCAGUUUCUCAGGAAGCUUUGUAAGGUCCAAAAUAGAAAAGUUAAAUCCUUAAUAAAAGUGGAUUAAGUGCUUUGGAAUAAGAGGCAAAUUAUCAAGUGAGAUCUGGGUCUUUAAGGGCCCGUUUGGCAAAGCUCCAGCUCCUGCUUCUUUAGCUCUAGAUCCUGAUCCUCGUGAGGAGCUGAUCCUCCUGAUUCUCCUAGAAAAUCAGAAUCAUUUUUAAAACCGUUUGGCAAGUAAACUGAUUCUUGUCUUCUGAGAGUUGGUGGUCUGUGGCAAUUAUAUGUUUUACUCUUUGCAAUUCAACUUUAUUACAAACCAAUAAGUAGGAUGCAUAUACAGGAAAAAAAUAUGAAACAAUAACAUAUAAAAUAUUCCCAUCAUAGUAGUGCAUAAAAUGGUCUCAAAUGUUUAAUCCAUAAAUUGGCUCGUUAUGUUUUUGUCCAAUGGCAAUUGCGGGUAAUUUCGAUCAAACUUUAAGGAGAGGUCCAUAUUUGGUUGGUUGAGGAGCUGUUUUAAGGGAGGGUGGAGCAGGUUUUUUUAGAUCCCACCUUUCUUCACAAAAAUGACUCCCGAUCUUUCGGCUCCACACGAGAAUCAGUUUAAAAAAAUACCCGUUUGGCACGGCUCCUCCAGAUUCUCGCUUAGAAUCAGGAGCUGGAGCUGUGCCAAACGGGCCCUAAAUAAAGUCUAGUAUGUUCUAAUCCUUUAAUUAUUCAAGCUUGUGGUGGUAGCUUGUAAGGGUUCAAUGAAAGAGGGAUGAAUCCAUGCUUAAGUCAUGAAUGGAGUAUUGGAUUAAAAAGGCAGGGUUCCCUAGCAUGGUUGGAUACCUUGGUUGUGUGGUUGGAGUAUUUAGAUCCCUUGUAGUUUUUGUUAGUUCUUGUGUGCACCAUGUAGAAAGGUGUAAUUAGAGGUACUUAAUGUUAUCCUCUUUGCAACUGUUAGAGUACCUAUUAGGGUUUCGGUACUCCCCAUGUGUAUUUACUGUUUUGCCCCCAUUGUAAUGGGCUCGGCCCAUCUAACUCAGGCUAUAUAUCCAUCUCUCAACCCGUUGUUAGGGUUAGGGUUUCCUAUUCUAACUUGGUACCAGAGCUAGGUUUGUUUUUUUCAUUCCUACCCUCCCUAGUCGUCGUCUCGGCCACCCAGGACCUGAUGCCAUGACCAAGCUUUCCAGCACUUUAGAUUCUUCUUGUAAUAGGGGACAUUUUGAGGGCCUUUGUCAUGCUUGUCAACUUGGGCACUUGGCCGACACACUCGUCUCCCUUUUACUACAUCUUCGUCUAGGGUUGAGCAUGCUUUUGGCCUAGUUCAUUGUGAUGUCUGGACCUCCCCUGUACUCAGUCUUUCUAGCUAUAAAUACUAUUUGGUGAUUUUGGACGAUUUUUCUCAUUUCCUUUGGACUUUCCCUCUUCGGUUGAAGUCCGACACUUUUACCACCCUCACUCACUUCUUCGCCUGGGUCUCCACCCAGUUCCGUCGCACGGUCCGUGCCUUGCAGUGCGACAACGCUAGCGAAUUCGACAAACACGCCUCUCGGUCAUUCUUCCUCACCAGUGGCGUUUAGUUGCGUCUCUCCUGCCCCUAUACCCGCCAAGAACGGCCGGGCCGAGCGCAUGAUUCGCACCACCACCAACAUGAUCUAUUGUCUUCUCUUCCAGGCGUCUCUCCCUGCCAGCUACUGGGCCGAGGCCCUGCACACCGCCACCACCUCCUCAACUUCCUCCCCUCGAAGGCGGUGAGCCCCCUCCUAAACCCUGUACGGCACAGCCCCCUCCUACAACCACCUGCGUGUAUUCGGUUGUGCCUGCUACCCCAACACUUCCGCUACCGCUCCUUACAAGCUGUCUCCACACUCCACUCGCUGCCUCUUCCUUGGCUACUCCCGUGACCACAAAGGGUAUCGCUGUCUUGACCUCUCCUCCCAUCGCAUCAUCAUCUCUCAUCACGUCGUUUUCGACGAAAAUGUGUUUCCCCUUGCUGGCUCCUCCCCACCCACCGAUCUUGAUUCCCUCCUUGAGUCUGAUCCGAGUACCCCCUCCUUCCCAGGCACCACGCCUCGCAUCCUUGCUCGCACCUCGCAUCUUCACCACACUCGCGCGCGGCUCUGUCGACCCCGUCCAUGCCCCAUGUGGCCUCGACGCCCCCGUUCGCACAUCUGCCUGCACCACGCGCAGCCCCGCCGACCUCACCUACGCCACGCGCGGAACUGGCGACUCCGGCCCUGUCGACGAGCGAACACCGCUUCGCUGACCCUACCCUCGUCUAUCACCGUCGCGGCAGCGCUCCUCCGUCGGCGCCCACGGACCCAGCCGUCGUUUAUCAUUGCCGCGGGUCGGCCAUGCCUGUGGCCCUUAAGCCGUCGGUGUACCACCCGGUCGCCAUUCACCGCGCCCCCGGGCACACUCACCCCAUGGUAACUCGUCGUGUCGGCGGUGUCCUUCGGCCUGUCGACAGGCUGAUCCUAGCCACCGAUACGACCGCUACUCCACCGGACGCCUCUUCGGUCCCCUCCUCUGUCCGCACCGCCCUCACCGACCCUCACUUGCGUCGGGCCAUGGAGGAGAUGUGGCCCUGCUGGCCAACCACACCUGGGACUUGGUGCCACGUCCUCACGGCACCAAUGUGGUCACUGGCAAGUGGCUCUUUCGCCACAAGCUGACUUCGGAUGACUCCAUCGACCGCUACAAGGCCCGCUGGGUUCUUCAGGGCUUCACCCAGCGCCCCGGCGUGGACUACGAUGAGACCUUCAACCCCGUUGUCAAGUUCGCCAUCGUCUGCGCCGUCCUCUCCCUCGCCCUCUCUCGAAACUGGGUGAUCCACCAGCUCGACGUCAAGAACGCCAACCUUCAUAACACUCUGACGGAGACUGUCUACUGCAGCCAGCCCAUCGGCUUCGUCGACGGCGUCAACCCGGACCUAGUCUGUCGGCUAAACCGCUCACUCUACGGCCUCAAGCCGGCGCCGUGGGCCUGGUACAGCCGCUUCACCACCUAUUUGGCCUCCAUCGGCUUCGUCGAGGCCAAGUCGGACACAUCUCUCUUCAUCUACCAGCGGGGCGAGGACAUCGACUACCUCCUCUACGUCGACGACGUUGUGCUCAUGGCAUUCACCGCCGACCUCGCCGCCAAUCCGGACCUGGUCUGUCGGCUAAACCGCUCACUCUACGGCCUCAAGCAGGCGUCGUGGGCCUGGUACAGCCGCUUCACCACCUAUUUGGCCUCCAUCGACUUCGUCGAGGCCAAGUCGGACACAUCUCUCUUCAUCUACCGGCGGGGCGAGGACAUCGACUACCUCCUCUACGUCGACGACAUUGUGCUCACGGCAUUCACCGCCGACCUCCUACAGCGCACGAUCAUCGCCCUCCAGCGAGAGUUUGAGAUGACGUCCCCCCGGUCGCCGACGCAACGUCUUACCGGAGCUUAACAGGCGCACUCCAGUACCUCACCUUCUAUCGGCCCGACAUCGCCUACGUGGUUCAGCAGGUGUGCCUCCAUAUGCACACACCACGAGAGCCCCACCUCACCGCUCUCAAGCGGAUUAUGCGCUACCUCCGGGGCUCACUCGACUACGGCCUCCUCCGACCAUCCUCGACGUCAGAUCUUGUGGUCUACACCGACGCUGAAUGGGCCGACUGCCCCGACACGCGUCGGUCCACCUCCGGCUAUGUCGUGUUCCUAGGCGCCAACCUCGUCUCUUGGGUCGCCAAGCGGCAGCCUGUCGUCUCUCGCUCCAGCGUCGAGGCUGAGUACCGCGUUGUGGCCAACGGCGUGGCAGAGGCUUCCUGGAUGCGCCAGCACCUCCACGAGCUCUACAGCCCCCUCCAGCGCGCCACCCUAGUCUACUGCGACAACGUCAGCGCUGUCUACUUCUCCACUAAUCUUGUGCAGCAUCAGCGCACGAAGCAUGUGGAGAUCGACCUGCACUUCGUCCGGGAGCGUGUCGCAGCAGGCGACGUUCGGGUCCUCAGCAUCCCCACAACGCUGCAGUUCGCCGACAUCUUCAUCAAGGGGCUACCGUCCAAUGUAUUCCUAGACUUCCGGUCUAAUCUCAACAUAUGUACAGGAUAGAGUUGUGACUGCAGGGGGAGUUGUGACUGCAGGAUAGACUUCCGGUCUAAUCUCAACAUAUGUACAGGAUAUGUUAAGUACCUAUUAGGGUUUCGGUACUUCCCAUGUGUAUUUACUGUUUUGCCCCCAUUGUAAUGGGCUCAGCCCAUCUAACUCAGGCUAUAUAUCCAUCUCCCAACCCCUUGUUAGGGUUAGGGUUUCCUAUUCUAACUGCAACUACAUAAGCAUAAGCAUUCAUGGACAUAUCAUUUCAUGUAGAGCUCCCAGAAGAAGUGGAUAUUCAAGAUGAAGUGGUAGCUGAAGGGGAGUCUACUCCAGUGCCUGCUCAUCAAGAGGAUAGAGCUAUCUAAAUGAUGGUUGGGUAGAGGGAUAUAGCACCUCUUCUCUGCAACAAAGGCAAGCCCCAGUGCAUUUGCCCCUUGUGUUUUAAAUGCUUUAUCACCUUAUAUGAUACAUUAGGUGAUAGGAGUUGUGUGAUAAACAAUCGAUGCAUUACCAUUCCUUGUAAUUUGAUUACUAUUCCUUGAUCCAUGUUUUAUAAAAAGAACGAUUACUGCUUAGUCAUGCUUAGAAACUCAAAAAUCGUUUGUUUUUCAAAAGAAUGAUGUGUAACAUUGGUUGUGGGAUUUUCCUCUGAAAAAUCAUAGCAAACUUAUGAUGGUGAGUCCAUCAGGGCCUAGAUGGGCUCAUCGUUCGAAAAGAGUACCCCUAUCGGGUACCAAAAAUGGGGAAAUGGUUUGAAUAAAUCGAGACCAGACGCUAAGCAGACAAGGUCGACCGUCUGUGUCGAUUAAGGACCGUACCGUUUACUGGCCUAAUGUGGUUGAGACUUUGCAACUAGCAAUAUACCCUGGUGUAGGGCAGGGUAAGCUUGAACCCGGCUAUUCCAUACGUGAAGAGACAAUCACACACUGGGAGUGAAGAGAUGGCGGGAGUAGCAUAUACCCUCCUGGCAUAGUAGCACGCCUGGUAGGGUAAUGUGCUCUCGGGUGGCGCGGACCUGUUCAUGUAGUGGAGGACUCCGUGGGAACGGUUGACAUAUGAAAGGGUUAAGUGCUACAUAUGUCGUGUUGUUAGAGAUCUCCAACUGGAUAUAAUCGGUUUGAAUCGUCGUUGCUCCUCGGUUAUGGAGACUCAUCCCGAUGACCAUCAUCGUAGUUAGCAAGUGAAAUAUGAGUAUGGAUAAAAUGCAGCUAAUACAGGCCAAGUGCUUGAACUAGAUUAGGCAAAUCUAUGUUCAGGUAAAUACCUGAUUUGUGAAUUAAAACUUGGCUUAGGGAUCAACUGGUAGUAAGUUUCUCUGCCAAAAAGGGUCUUCGGUAAUUGAUAAGCUUUACCUUGAGUCUCAAAUCCAGCAUACUCUUGAAAGUCUUUUUCUUUAGUCGGGUAAGUCUUGCUGAGUAAUUGCCUACUUAGGGUUUUAUUCCCUAUGUUGUUGCAAGAAGGGUUAUUGCUAUCUUUAGCUCUUGAUAGUUGCUUCGUGUGGAGGCCUUAAAGAUUUUAAUGCUUAGGUGUAUUUCUUAUGGAAAGGCUUCACAUUUUCCAUUGUGUAAUAAGUUAUGCACUUUAAGUACUGUCAGGACUUGUAAUAAUUACAACUCUUUCUAUGAUGUAAAACUUGAGAUUUGGAAUUGUAGAAUGUGUUUUGUAAAGUCUUUCGCUCUAUCUCCAAUGUAUGUGUGUAUCAAAGGUGAUUACUGUAAUGUACCUGUUUUGUGGGAGAUCUCUGGGAUAAUGAGUUCAAGUUGUUGAACUCGAUAGCCUUGUUAAGUUAUCAUGUACACGUGUACAGCCAUCUGAGGCUGUUAAGGCAAGGAUUGGUGCACGUGGGCCUGAUAACUUGGGAGUGCUGUCACAAAGAACCUCUAUGUUAAGUGUGCUUGGCCUAGAGCAAUUUUGGAACGGAUGACCGACCGGGAAGUUUUCCCCGAUGCGCAUGAGUGAGGACAAAGUGCGCAUAAAAGACUCAUGUUGGUUUGUGGCAAUGGUCUAUAAUCCUAGAGGGCUACCACAAGUAAUGUCGGUCCAGGAGUGGACGAGGUGUUACAAAUGAUAUCAUAGCCAACCCUCGCGGACGUGUGUGAUAAGGGUUCAGGCAUAUGGCGCAUGUGGCCCGGAGUGGGCACAUGGCAUAGCAUAUGACGACACUAGACACACAUACAUGACCAAGAGAGGGGGUUCCUAGCUUGGGGUUGACCGACGACGACUUCGGUCUUCUAAGAGGGGAGGAUUGUGAUAUCCUGGCCCAGGUGGAUUAUAUGAUAUGCUGGUCCAAGGCUAAAUAGAAUUAAUAGAGUACUCAUAUUAACAAGAUGCAUCUUCUUUUUCAGAAGUCUGUCUUAAAAGAACCUCUAGGUUAAACGUGUUUGGCCUAGAGCAAUUUCGGUAUGGGUGAUCUUUUCCCGGUGCGCAUGAGUAAGGACAAAAUGGGCAUAAAAAACUCGUGUUGGUCUGUGGGGAUGGUCUAGUAUCCUAGAGGGCUACAAGGAGUAAGUAAUGUCGGUCCAGGACUAGACAGGGUGUUACAAAUGGUAUUAGAGCCACCCCUCGCUGGCGUGUGUGGUAAGGGUUCGGGCAUAUGGCGCAUGUGGGCCCGGAGUGGGCACAUGGCAUAGCAUAUUGACGACACUAGACACACAGACGUGGCCAAGAUGGGAGGUUCCUGGCUUGGAGUUGACCGACGACGACUUCGGUCUUCUAAGGGGGGAGGAUUGUGAUAUCCUGACCCAGGUGGAUUAUGUGAUAUGUUGGUCCAAGGCUAAAUAGAACUAGUAGAGUACUCAUACUAAUAAAAUGCAUCUUUUUUCAGAAGUUUGUCUUAAAACAACCUCUAGGUUAAGCGUGCUUGACCUAGAGCAAUUUCGGGAUGGUGACCUUUUCCCGGUGCGCAUGAGUGGGGACAAAGUGCGCAUAAAAGAAUCGUGUUGGUCUGUAAUGAUUGGGGAUGCUCUAUGAUCCUAAAGGGCUACCAGGAGUAAGUAUUGUCGGUCCAGGUGUAGACAGAGUGUUACACCAACUAAUCAUGAUUAGACAAUGACUAAUUGGACGACAAGAUUUUCGGUCAACCAUUCAACCAAAUCAAGUAGCAGAGCCUCAUUGAGGUCAAGGAACGAUUAGUUCCCAGAUUAAUUGUGAUUAGUUGGAUGAGUUGAUAACACUGACCAGCAAACAAUAUCAACUACCUAAAGGAAUUCUUUGUGAAUAUUUAGUUUCCUCCAUAAUCUUUCCUCUGAGAAGCUAGUUGAGGAGAUUUAGGGAUGAAAAUAUGUAACAGCACCUAAUAUAUACUCACAUAACUAAUGCAAUCAUAUCUCGGAUCAACCAGACAAGAGCUAUCUUAAGGAUAGAUGCUAUAUUGAAGCAAAACCAAGGAAGGUAUGACCGCUCCUGCUAUGGGCUAAACCGAUGGCCUAAGCACUAGUUGAGAAGGCCUCCAAAUUCUCAACACAAUAGGGAUCUUCAGUUUUCCUGAGAAGUCAUUUGGGGAAGCAUACUCAUGAAAAAUUCUAAUAUGAAAUUGAAACUCUAAAGUAAACAGAAUAUAAUCUAUAGAACCCGAUUCUGACCGGCUGCAAAACAAUUGGUGAUCUGGUGGAAGUCUUAACUUUUAUAAAGUUCAUUUCUGUAGAGUUUGUUUAAAAGAAUAAACUCUAAUAGUCUGAUUACAAAGUUGUCAAAUACAACAUAUAAUAUUAUUUUUCAGUUGGCAUGAGAACUAUUAACAUUCUUCUUGCUAAAGUUUAUGCACGUAUUUUUUUAAAUAACACAACUAGGAAUAGUAGAGCACAUAUUUUUAAAAUAUUAAGUAACAGGCGUAUGAGCCACUGAAGCUACAACAUAACGAAAAAUUUGUAGCUCUGAAUGUGACUGAAUAUAUGCAGAAAGAGGUUCGCCAGUACGAGAAAUUAUAUUAACAAGCAACUCAGUGUAAUCAACAAGAGUCAUUCUUUCCUUCGGAAGCUUCUGGUCAUUCCAUUUAAACCUUUCUUCCAUCUCAAGGCAAAUGAAAAACUCAGUAUACGCUCAUUAAUAAUGUCAAACCCAUAUUUCUUAUUACUGUAAUUUAUCUUCGAGGAACAGCCCCCACAGAUCUUUCCCUGAUCAGCCAGUAGUAAAACCGCAGAUUGGAUAAGUUUUCCAUUCUCAAUGUAGUUCUAGAGCUCUUCAAGUUGAUUAUUUAUUUUUUCAGUAAGAAGUCUAACUGUAUCCAUAAAUAUUUUCUGUAAAACAACAAGUAACACAAAUCUAAGUGUCAUGUAGAAUUUGUAUGCAAACAAUUAGUGUUGAAUAACUUUAAAUGUAUCACUUCAUUUUCUCCUAUCAAAGUAAUUAUGGCUUAGGAACAUUUUCAAAGCCAAGGAAAAAACAGUUACUAGCAACAGUUUUUGUAUAUUUUAUUGAAAAAUCCUUGUUUUUGCUAUAACAACAUGCACUAACACAUGAAGACAGAAGAUUAACAGCGCCAAACUUUACUUUCUCUAACAAGUGGAGAUAAAUGAUGUUCAGUCCUUAGUAUCACUAAUCCAUUAUAACGUCUGUCUCAUAUCUAUAGCAUGACUACAAUUACAUUUUAUGUCAUGUGACAUAAAAAGAUCUUCGUACAUAAAAGAGAACUGAAACAAACCAUUUCAGGUAAACACAGCAAAUGAAUAAGCUUGUAGACAUAAUAAUUCAAAUUACGCUCAAAGAAAGAUUGUCAUCCAGAUACUUAUGCAUGCAAGUAUUUUUUAACUGCAACAUAGAGCGGAAGUAGGUUCUCAAUGACAGUAUUGUCAACUGUGUUUACAUCGACUGAUGCACUAUGACGUAAAAGCAACUUGAUCAUGUCACAAAAAAUUUGUCAGCAGUUUUAUGGAAUUGGGAAGUACUCAUACAGGUUUAUGCAGUUAGGAUUGGCGUGCAUUCCACAGAGCUCAGGUGGCUUGCCCUUCAAUACAACUUUUACACAUCGUAGAGCAUUAUUAUUGACCAUGAAGGUUAAGAUUUCUGAGGUGAUACUAAAACUUCAUACCAUGUCCUUGCCUGAACAGUCCUUGAAUAAUCGGAGUAAGCACCGGAUACUAUCUUUUUAAAGGAUGAGAAUCAAUUUUACAUAUAUGUCAAUAAAUGCAUCAUUCACCCGCUAGAUGGAUGCAUAACAGUUGAAAAAGUCGAAAGACAUCAGUUAUCCAACUAUAAUAAACCACAUCAAGGUAAAAUCUAUGAAAGUGCAUAUAUGACAAUAACAAUAGCAGUAAUAAUAAGUACAUGUAAUCCAACAUGAAACAAAAGAAGAGACAAAAUAUAAAAGGGUUUAAAGCCUAUAAUGGUUGAGGCAUGUGAUCAACAUGUUGCUAAUCAAGGUUCAUAUAUAACAAUAUUCAGUAGACUUAAGUUAAUUUAGAAUAUUACAUGAUUAAAUGAAAUGAUUAAUAUAAUAGAACAAAUCAUCAAUCAAAUUCUGUUAACAAAGGUAACAGAUACUUGGGGAACAGGAUCUGUGAUUAUUAUGUCAUUUGCCCUAUACUUAGCGAUAGAAACAAAAUCUAACAUAAACUAAAAGAGAAUGCCAAGAGUCAGCGCUACAGGUAGAAAAUUGAAAGAGAAGUGUAAUAUCACACAGAUGGAUAGUUAUCAUACCUUCUUGACCUUUUUUUUGUAAUUCUCAACUUCAAAAAAGAGAAAGUGGGUUGUGGACACUCAAAUCUUACCGAAAUUGAUUUAUCUUUACCAUUCAUAUUAUCUUUUUUGCAGGAAGCUACCUCCUUCCAGAUAAUGUAAUGAGGAACCUUAAAUUUUAAUUUUAUUCUUUCGUUUUUUCUAAAAAAAGUUUAAUCUGGAAUUACGAUUCAAACACUUACUGCAAAGGCACGCGACAGUCAAACAUUGAUCCAGGAGACCCUGAGAUAAAUUGUGUCGUUAUAUGCUUACAAUCAUGGGCGGACCCAGUGGUCAAGGACAUGGGAGUUCACAAGUACCCCAAAUAAUCUUUUUGCAACAAAAUCGAAUUUAGUAAGCAUAAUACAUGUAUACCUUUUAAUUAGAACAGAUCCGAAUACAGAUACACAAACAAAUAAAGUUGGGGUUUGGAAGCGUGGUCUCGCGCAGCACGAAGGGAAGAGAGGGGGUGCGCACACCUGAUGGGUGUUCGUAGCCAGCGAAGGGCACGACGAAGACCAGGCGAAGGGGUCGACGAGGCUAACAAGACCGGGGCACCUGGCGUAGGGUGGCGGAGGCGAUCGUCAAUUGCGCCACGAGCAAGGAAGGGUGACAGCACGAACGGCGAAGUGAGAGCGGAGGAAUGUCACCAUCUAUCGCUAUUUUAGGGCAUGUCUGGAGUAUGCCACAUUUUGACAUUCGAAUUCUAAUCUUAGUUAGAAAAGUUAUAUAAAAUGUGACAUUAGAGAUAAUAGUUAAUGGCUAAAAUUAAAUAUUUUUAGUAAAUUAAUUGAUAGUUAAUUAUUUAUUAUUUAGCUAAGGUUGUGUUUAGUUUUUAAAAAUUAAUUUUAAUAUCUCUAUUUUAUUCUAUUUUAGUCUCUAAAUUAUCAAAUACGGAAACUAAAACAGUAUUUUAGUUUCUGUAUUUAGCAAUUUAGGGACCAAAAUAUAAUAAAAUUGCGAGACUAAAAUUUAAUCCAUAUAAACCAAAUACCCCCUAAUGUCACUAGCAACUCGCGAGCCUCGAUCGAGCCAAGCCUCCUUUUUAGCUUGUUGGUGAGGCGAGCCAAACCUCCUUUUUAGCUUGUUGGUGAGGCGAGCCGAGCCGAGAUGACUAGUUCGGGCUCAUGAGCUACAUUAAUUGUGAUGAAUUAAUUAAUCUACAAAAUUAUAAUGGAUUAUCUGUUAAUUUCUUAGUAUUUAAUAAUGGAUAUAUGACAAUUCAAAUUUUAGAUUACUAUAAUAUUAAAUAAUAAUUCUAUAUUUCAUAUUUAAAUAUUAAUAAUUAGUAUAUAUAUACAUAAUUAUAUUUGCGAAAGCGUUUCUCACGAGCCGAGCCAGCUCGCGAGCCAACUUCGAGCUGAGCCAAGCCUCAUCCUUGAGCUCGUACAAUGAGUGUACCGAGCCGAGCUUGAUCACCCACCGAGCCGAGCCCCUCCUCGGUGGUGUCCGAGAGCACCUCCAAUCGAUGGUGUGUUCAUGCUAACUCAUUGUUUUGUUACAGAUCUGGCCUCAUGUAUAAUCGGUCGGUCCCUGCCUACAGUGCGUCGAGUAGGAGUGGACAUUCGGGUUACCAAAAACUUGGGUCGAAUAAUUCGGGUUUUUCAAAUUUCGGUUUUUAAAAACCUCUACCCAAAGUCCCAAAGUGUACCUGAAAUGAGCGGUACUCGAAAAAAUCGAGUCAAGUAAUUCGAGUUCGGAUAAUCCCGAUUUACUCGGUUAGAGUUCAUCCUAGUUUAUUGUAAGCAUACAUUUUCUCUCAUCAUAGAUAAGUUCUACCAUAGCAUAGUUUUUUUUACUUGUGCGAAAUUCUUAAUCUUGUUUUGUGUGUGCCAUGGAUUUUAGGAUUUAGGAAACGGAACAUGUUGGCAGAAACGAAGGCAAUACCGUAAGCAUAUAACGACUCAAUUUAUCUCAUGGUCUCCUAGAUCAAUGUUUGACUGUCGCAUGUCUUUGCAGUAAGUGUUUAAAUCGUAAUUCCAGAUUAAACCUUUUUUAGAAAAAAAACGAAAGGAUAGAAUUAAAAUUUAAGGUUCCUCGUUACAUUAUCUGGAAAGAGGUAGCUUCCUGCAAAGAAGAUAAUAUUAAUGGUAAAGAUGAAUCAAUUCCGGUAAGAUUUGAGUGUCCACAACUCACUUUCCCUUUUUUGAAGUUGAGAAUUACAAAAAAAAGGUCAAGCAGGUAUGAUAACUAUCCAUCUAUGUGAUAUUACACUCCUCUUUCAAUUUUCUUCCUAUAGCGCUGACUCUUGGCAUUCUCUAUCAGUUUAUGCUAGAUUUUGUUUCUAUCGCCAAGUACAGGGCAAAUGACAUAAUCAUCCCAGACCCUGUUCCACAGGUAUCUGUUACCUUCGUUAAUAGAAUUUGAUUGAUGAUUUGUUCUAUUAUAUUAAUCAUUUCAUUUAAUCAUAUAAUAUUCUAAGGUAUCUUAAGUCUACUGAAUAUUGUCAUAUAUGAACCUUGAUUAGCAACAUGUUGAUCACAUGCCUCAACCAUUAUCGCUUUAGACCCUUUUAUAUUCUGUCUCUUCUCUUGUUUUAUGUUGGAUUACAUGUACUUAUCAUUACUGCUAUUGUUAUUGUCAUAUACACACCUCAAAAAAAUUUACCUUGAUAUGUUUUCUUAUAGUUGGAUAACUGAUGUCUUUCACCUUUUUCAACUGUUAUGCAUCUAUCUAGCGGGUGAAUGGUGUAUUUAUUGACAUAUAUGGAAAAUUGGUUCCCAUCCUUCAAAAUGAUAGUGUCUGGUGCUUCCUCCGAUUAUUGAAGGACUGUUCAAACAAGGGAAUGACAUGGACUUUUAGCAUCACCUCAGAAACCUUAACCUUCAUGGUCAAUAGUAAUUCUCUUCGAUGUGUAAAAGUUGUAUUAGAGGGCAAGACACCUAAGCUCUGUGGAAUGCACGCUAAUCCCAACUGCAUAAACUCAUAUGGAUACUUCCCAAUCCAUAAAGCUGCUGACAAAUUCUUUUGUGACAUGAUCAAGUUGCUUUUACGUCAUGGUGCACCAUUCGAUUUACACACAGUUGGCAAUGAUGUCAUUGAGAACCUACUUCCGCUCCAUGUUAUAGUUUUGAAUACUUGCAUGCAUAAGUAUCUAGAGGACAAUCUUUCUAUCAGCGUAAUUUAAAUUAUUAUGUCUACAAGCUUAUCCAUCUGCUGUGUUUACCUGAAAUGGUUCGUUUCGCUUCUCUUCUAUGUACGAAGCUCUUCUUAUGUCACAUGACAUAAAAUGUAAUUUUAGUCAUGCCAUAGAUAUAAGACAGGUGUUAUAUUGAAUUAGUGAUACUAAAGGCUGAGCAUCAUUUAUCUCCACUUGUUAGAUAAAGUAAAGUUUACCGUUGUUAAUCUUCUGUAUUCAUGUGUUAGUGCAUGUUGUUAUAGCAAAAAACUAUGAUUCUUCAAUAAAAUAUACAAAAAUUGUUAUUAGUAACUGUUUUUUCCCUUGCCUUGGAGAAUGUUUCUAAGCCAUCAUUACUUUGAUAGGAGAAGAUGAAGUAAUACAUUUAAAGUUAUUCAACACUACUUGCUUGCAUACAAAUUCUACAUAACACUUAGAUUUGUGUUACUUGUUGUUUUACAGAAGAUCUUCAUGGAUACAAUUAGACUUCUUGCUGAAAAAACAAAUAAUCUACUUGAAGAGCUCUGGAACUACAUUGAGAAUGUAAAACUUAUCCAGUCUGCGGUUUUACUACUGGCUGCUUAGGGGAAGAUCUGUGGGGGUUGUUCCUCGAAGAUAAAUGGCAGUAAUAAGAAAGAUGAGUUUGACAUUAUCAAUGAGCGUAUACUGAGGUUUUCAUUUGUCUUGAGAUGGGAGAAAGGUUCAAAUGGAAUGACCAGAAGCUUCUAAAGGAAAGGAUUGUUCUUGUUGAUUGCACUGGGUUGCUUGUUAAUAUAAUUUCUCGUACUGGCGAACCUCUUUCUGCAUAUAUUCAGUCACUUUCAGAGGUACGGAUUUUUCAUUAUGUUGUAGCUUCAGUGCCUCAUACGCCUGUUGCUUAAUAUUUUAAAAAUAUGUUCUCUACUAUUGUUAGUUGUGUUAUUUUAAAAAAAUACGUGCACAAACUUUAGCAAGAAGAAUGUUAAUAGUUCUCAUGCCAACUGAAAAAUAAUAGUAUAUGUUGUAUAAUUGUAUUUGACAACUUUGUAAUCAGACUAUCAGAGUUUAUUCUUUUAAACAAACUCUACAGAAAUGAACUUUAUAAAAGCUAAGACUUCCACCAGAUCACCAAUUGUUUUGCAACCGGUCAUAAUCUGGUUCCAUAGAUUAUAUUCUGUUUACUUUAGAGUUUCAACUUCACAUUAGAAUUUUUCAUAUGAGUAUGCUUCACCAAAUGGCUUCUCAGGAAAACUGAAGAGUCCUAUUGUGUUGAGAAUCUGGAGCCCUUCUCAACUAGUGCUUAGGCCAUCGGUUUAGUCCAUAGCAGGAGCGGUCAUACCUUCCUUGGUUUUGCUCCAAUAUAGCAUCCAUCCUUAAGAUAGCUCUUGUCUGGUUGAUCCGGGAUAUGAUUGCAUUAGUUAUGUGAGUAUAUUUAGGGGUUGUUACAUAUUUUCAUCUCUGAAUCUCCACAACUAGCUUCGCUUGGAUGCUGGUGAGUUGUCACUACUCCUGCUUUUUGGUGGAUAAGAAGAACGAUUAAAUAUAUUAGUUGCGAUUAUUCUCGUAUUUUUAACAAGAGUGAUAUGUGUUGAAUUAAUCGUAUCGUUUAGUAUUUGUCAGUUCUCAGCGUGAAGGAUAGGUUUAGUAUUUUUAUCGCCUAGCCAACGGUUUUUCAGGGUUAUGACGCUUUUACUUAUUAAAAUAGAGUCGAUGCCCUGCUAUGAUAUCCAUGAUGCUUUAUGAUUUUUGAUUGAUGAAAUAUCAUAGAUGGGUCAUUUAGAUUAAUAAUCUUGAAUAAAUAUUUAUUCUUGUCCUAAAUAUUGGGAAGCAAGUGAUGUCAUUAGGUCUAUUCUCGUAAAAUUUGAAAACUUCUAAGCAGCCCUCGUUCAUUAAUGUUUUAAGUCAUUAGGGCUUAAGGUUAUGGUCUUAUAAAAGUCUAUAGUCCUUAAUAAUACUCUACCUACGAGACUAUAGAAUAGUGUAAUGUUCAUGUAAUUGGCGUAUUAUGCACAUUAAUCCAGAUAUGGAUUUACAAAAAUAACCACGAUGCCUCCAUCUUUGUUCUAAAUUUAGAUGUAAAAAACUAAUAAGUCUAAGUUUAUUAGUCUUAAGGUGUUGAGCUUUAGCUUAGGGGGUACAACGUGCGUAUAGUUUAUUGUUGCUAUGAUGUUGUAGCUAGAUUUAGACAAACUGGAAGAACGCAAUUGAUGUACUUAAAUGAUAUCUUGACAUCUAGUAUUUGCUUUUAAGUAUAUUAUGUGCCUUGUCGCUAAGUGUUUAAUUUGUUAUCGUGUAGCAAUAAUUAGGCGUGUGUUAUUCUUGUUUAUAUUCAUUCAUGUGCAUUAUGCAUUUCAUUUAGGUACGUUAAUUAAUCACGAUAUGCGGAGGACCAGAACCAAGUCGACCACAAGAUGUUGUAAAGCAUGAGCCACUCGCGAGGUGAUGCUGAUGGACGAACCUGAAGAUGGACAGACGGAGCACAUUUUAUAUAAAUAUUGAAUUUGGAUAUAUUCUAGAUCUUCUUUCUUGACUAUAUAUUUAUUUUUCUUUUUAAAGUUUAAGAAAGUCAAAAUCAAAAAACCUAACUUUUUCUAUUAUAUAUUGAUGUGUAUCUAUCUAUAAUAUUUUUGAAUAUUAUGGAAUUAGAGAAAUGACAUUCCGACGCUUUCUCAUUUCAUUAAGUAUCGGAACAAAAGAUGAUCGCCAAGUGGACGUCAUCUAACAAACACUAAUGUAGUGUUUAUUUCAGGCAAGCCCGAUGCAUGCAACCCCUUCCUUGUAUUUUUAAAUGAUUUUUACACACUUUAAGUCUAGCGAAAUGUGCAUUAAGUUUAUAGGAGUUGCUUGGAAACCCUUUGAUGCAUUGGCUACCUUAAAUAUCAUGCACCCUUCGGGCGCCCCACACUUAUUAGAAUAUGAUGAACAUAAGUACUGCAAUUUCGAGCUAAGAGUAACUUCAGGAGAAAUUUGCACUGCAAACAAAAUGAGCAGGGUCAGAAACAGGGUGAAGAAACCUCAUCAGGGCCUCCCACUGCCUCCAGGCGGCAGCCUGCAACUUUGUAAUUACCUCGCAAGCAACUAUGCUAUCACAAUCACAUAAGGUGCGCAUGGUUUAAAAGGCGGCUAGGCGGAACUAGGCGCCCAGCCACCGCCUGACCGCCUAGGCGACUUAGGCGGGCGCCUAGGCGACGCCUUAGUAGCUGUUACAAACAGCUGUUACAAAAUAACAAGCAACCAAACCAGUGAAAGCAGGGGAAGAUGAACAUCAUUUUUGGGUGUUGACACCUGAGAGAAAGCAGGGGAGGAGGAAGCAGGGGAGGACCUACCAGUGAGGGGCGCCAGGGAAGGGGAGCAGCCGGCCAGCCGCGCGCCCAGCGAGCAGCAGCCGCGAGCAGGCGAGCAGCAGCCGCGAGCGGCGAGCAGCUUUGGCGUGUCGCGAGCAGGGCGCGCGCAGGGAGGAGCAGCCGCGUGCAGGGCGCGCGCAGGGAGGAAGAGUCGCGCGCACAGGAAGAAAGGGGAGAGAAUAGCCGCGCGCACAGGAACAGCCGCCAGCCGCACGCAAAGGAGAACGCGCGCCAAUUUACAGGCGGGCACCAAAAUCCAGCGCCAAAAAAACCCUAGGUUAGGCGUCGCCCAGGGGGAGAAAGGCGUCGCCCAGACGCCUACCACGCCUAGGCGGACGCCUACCGCGCCUAGGCGGACGCCAUACUCGAUCUUCCCUGGGCGGCGCGGACGCCUAGCAACAAUUGACGCCUGGACGCCUAGGCGUCGCCUAGGCGACGCCUAGGCGACGCCUUUUAAACAAUGAAGGUGCGGCCAUUGAUUCUGUCCUGAACAUCAAAACCACCAUCGCCAUCGCUUCGCUGCACAUAUCACAGUAAGCAAAAUGGAGCACCAUGGUCCAAUUGUG
rnacentral:lncRNA from 1 species